rnacentral:lncRNA from 1 species
UUAAUAUCAAUGAAAAGAUCGACUUGAUGUCGGCUUAUAAAGUGGUUUGGAAGUAUUUGCUUUGAUAAAACAGUUUAAUUAUAAAGAAACCUUUGUUUGAAACAAAAUUGUAAAAGAGUUUGAAAUGAAACCUACAGUGUAUAAUAAACAGUUUAAUCAAGAGUUUUAAACAUAUAAAAACGUUUAAGAUAAACAUUUGAAGAAAUCUGUUUGGUAAAACAGUUACCGUAUAGUAAAUCUAUUUGCAUGCUGCUUAGUAACCACAUGUGCUUGAUAUAAUAACUAGCAUGAAUCAACUUGUUUCCCCCCAUAAAAGCAUUUAAAAACAUUCAAAAUAUUGAUUAAGGGGUAUGAACUCACCUGUAGCAAGUGGUAGGGAUUGAACGGACUGUAUAGGAUGCUAGGUGUCAAGUGAAGACUUGUACACACUCUAUGAUCCUAGUUAACAUAUAAUAUCACAUAUAUGUAACCAAUUAGCCUUUAAACAAUUUAAUAACAAAGUUAAGACAUCCUAAGACAUGUUAAACACUUUAUAUAAGUGUUAUAAGUGCUAACGAUUGCAUCUAAGUGUUGUAGGACAAAGCUAUUGAGCUUAGGGUUCAAGGGAACCCCUAAUACAAGUUUACUCCCUAAAGACCACAACCCAUUGAGUUUACGGUCGUAAACCCUUGAUUUUACGGUCGUAAGCUCAUCUCCUUUUGACCAUUUGUUGACUUGAAGCCUUCUAAGUCAUUUCAUGCAUUCCUACUUCAUGUUUAAGCCUUUGGAAGUAUUUGUGGCAUCAAUACACUCCUAAAUGGAGUUUACGGCCCAUGGACCAUUUCUCCAUGUGUUUGCUGCCAUAAAAUCCUAUGGAACAUGGUAUUUACAUGUUUUCACGUCUUAAACACUUCAAGGUAAAAGUCUAGGCUAGAUUUUAGGCAUAAGGAAGGAAUAUGGGCCAUUUAUACACACUUUGGGGUGUUUACGGUUUUAGGAGAUCCCCAAACCGUAAACCCAUAUUCAAGGGGGUCUUAUGGUGUUUUUCAUGUGCUAAAACCAUCAGGGAAGGGUUCCAUACUAGUUUCUAAGCAUAAGGGAAGAGUUGGGAGCACUUUGGCACCAAAAAUAGAGUUUACGGUCCAAGAAGACCUUGGACCGUAAGCUCCUUUUUCUUGUGAUUCUUGAGUGAUUUCUAUGAUAUCUAAACAUGUAGUAAGCUUUAAAACACUCUAGGGUUGAAGUACUUACAAUUUGGGGCAAAAGAUUGAAGAUCCUUGGGAGAGAAUUCAGGCUUUUCUCUAGUUGAAAUGGAAGAAAUGAACAAAAAAUGGCUAUGUGCCCUUUAUAUAGUCCAUGGAGUUUUUGGUCCAAAAAUAUCAUUUGAGUCGUAAACUUCAAACUCUUGGAGUUUUGAAACUUAUAAGACGCACAAAAUACUCUAGGGCAUCCUCUCUCCUGAUAUCUCCUAAAGUGUAAAUCCUGAAAUACUCAAACUUAUUCUAAAAAGUCUGAAAAUUAACAGCAACUGCUCUGACUUCUAUUGACUUGACAUGUUUGUACAGAAUAGAAAUUUCGGGUUGUGACAUCAUCCCCCCGUUAGAAGGAAUUUCGUCCCGAAAUUAGAGUUUAGGUAAGGAAUUAGGCAUGAAUAAUCAAGCCAAGAAGUGGGGAUACUUCCUAAAUGAUUGAUUCUCGGACUCCCAAGUGAAUUUGGGUCCUUGGUUGGCAUCCCAGCGGACCUUCACUAAAAGGAAACGACUAUGAAUCGUUCACAUGACCUCUCGGUCCAUGGUCACUACGGUUCUUCCACGUAGGUGAGGCUCUUGUGGAACUCGAUCUCUUCGAGUGGGAUUUCAAGAGUCUCGUCGGAUCAAUACUUUUUACAAGUUCGAGACAUGAAGGGUAGAAUGUAUGUUACUAAGCUCGCGGAGUAGGUCUAGUCUGUGAGAUACAGGACCGAUUCCGGUAAGAAUCUCGGAGGUCCUAACUAUCUUGGAUUUAGCUUUCCAUGCAUUACGAAGCGUAUUAAGCCAUUCCCAGAGUGAGACUUCCUAAAGGAUUUGGUCUCUUACUUGGAAUUCCAAGGUUUCUUUUUCUUGCUUAUCUUCCCAGUCAAGGGCCACCCCCUGCUGGGUCAAAGUCGUAAGGGUUUCUUUAAUUCGCGAGGAGUUCUGAAUGGAUUCCUGAUAGUAAGUCGGCAAGACUUAAAAUUUGGCGAAUUUCGUAAGCAUCUUCAGUGCCAACAAUUUCUCAACGGUUAUGAUAAAUUGACAGAUUACUCAAGAAUUUCCACAUCACAAAUGGUGUGUCUUAGGAAUUUGACUCUUCAAUUCCAAAACUCGUGUUUAGAGAACUUCACAAAGAGUUUCUCUGAGGGUAAAGUUUCCAUGGCUUGUUGUAGAUGCUCUUUACGAUUUCCUUCUUACUACGAGAGUAGAUAAGUAAGUCAUUUACAAAGAAAACGACAAACUGAUCCAAGUAAGAAUGGCGUACUCUAUUCAUUAAGCUCAUGAAUACUACAGACGUAUUGGUCCUAUCCAAGGGGUAUCACUACGGACUCAUAAUGUCCGUAUCGAGUUUGGAAGAUUGUCCUUGGGACCUCCUCCGCUGAAACUCGUUUCUGGUGAUAUUCGGAUCUCAGGUCUAUUUCUGAAAGGUAAAUAGUUCCUUGCAGUUGGUCAACCAACUCAUCUAUGCGAGGCAGAGGGUGAUGAUUUCUAAUGGGAAUCUUGUUGAGGUCUCUGAAGAUGAGGGACUUACCAAGCAAUCCGUAUAUCUUCUUGACGAAUAAGACCGAAGCUCUCUAGGAUGAGAAGCUUGAUCUUUCCAUUCUAGUGCUGAGUAGUCUUUAAACUGUCCGGACGGUUCUUAUAUCUCCAUGGGCGUUAGACCGUAGGGCGAUCUGUUUACAGAAGUCUUACUGGGUUCUAAGUUUGUUCGCAUGACGAUGUGAUUACACGUAGUCUUGGGCAGUCUACGUCCUAAAGUUCAUAUUAGAAGUCAUACAUGGUUCAUCAAUCGCAGUCUCGUGUAUACAAGUCGUAUAUAAUUAAGAUUGAAAAGGUAGUCGAAUAAAUGAUUCUUCAUUAAGCUCACAUCCCAACGAGGAAAAGAAGUUAAAGUGGAAUCACCAAUUCUAAACCUGUAGAACCUUGAUUAUAUAUCACCCCUAUGUAUACAUUCUUCAGCGAUAGAUCAACCGUAUGGAUCUUUGGAUUGAACUUGACAUAUUGUACGAGUGGUAUUUCGGGGAGGUUUGCUGAGUUUUCUUCAGAAAGGAUAAGAAACAUGAGGUACUCCAUGCAUGAGUACUUCCGAGUUCUAAAAUGACGGCUUCGCUAAAAAGAUGUUUACGGAGAAAGAGAUGUACGUAUGAAGCUGGUAUCGUGCGGAUCAAAUUGAAUCUAGUCGUAUGGUAAUAUCGGACUCACUUUGGAAAAAAGACAUUAGACUUGAUCAUAAAGGCGUUACAGACAAAACCAACAGUGCAAUCUUUAACAGAGUUACAGUACUUUAGACAUACUACAAGACUAUGGCUGCUAACAAGGUAUACUACAAAAGACAAGUAUACGCAACACGAGCAUCCCUUUACCGAUGGGAUCUGGCAAAAGAUAAGACUCUAGUUGCACUAGUUUUAAACAGUUUAUAAGUCUGUUACAAUGAACGCCUUAGAUAGUUUAACGAGGGUCCGACGUAGUUUCUCCUGCAGCUGUGAUCCUGAGAAUCUUCCCGUCUGUGCCCGAGUUCUUUGUUAUUGGAUAGUCCUUGAGAUGUCCCAUCUCUCCACAUAAAUGACAUAUUUGGCUAGUGCCAGCAUCGGUAGUGGAAGUGAAGUGUCGAGUAGGAGUUAUGGGGACGCGGGUGCUUUUUUUGAUCUCCCUUUUCGGGCAAUUUCUUUUAUAGUGCCCAGUGUCACCAUAAUAAUAGCAACCUUGGCUGGCUCUAGUGGCGGUGGUUCCACAUAAACGGGCAAUGUGUCCCAGUCUGUUGCAAUUGAUACAUUGCAAUACCCAGCAGGCUCCAUUAUGAUGAUAGCUACACUUGCUACACUUCGGGAGCGUUCCCUCAUAUUGCUUGCGUCCCUUUUGAGCUUGACGCUUCCGUUUCUUGAACUCUGAGUUGUGGCUUCGCGAGCCUGUGACUAUUAUCGUUUGUUGGCUUCUUGGAUUGAAACUACGAUCGGGAUUUUCAACCCCAUCGUCAGUAUUGCUUGCGUUGAUAGCGUUAUGGUUUGCAAGGACAACUGUCACGGCAGCUGUAACAGCGACUUGGAAAGUGGCGGUGUCUAUAGGAAAGGUAAGGGUUUCCUUGUUUGGCUGACUGUUUCCGGAUGACGACAUGAUUCUGUAACAUGAAAAAUAAGGAUUUUGUGAGCAACUUUGGUUGACCCCAAAUGUCCUUCGAUCGCUCAAGUAAAGAGUAAGAGUAUGUUCUCAAAAUUUUGACCUACAUCCCUAUGAUGCAGUCCUAUCACGGAUUGGAAGUAUGUUUGCUAAGGUUCGACCUACAUCCCUAUGAUGCAGUCCUAGAAUAGAAUAGAAGUAAAUUCGUAGUAUGGUCUUAUGACGCUUGACGUCUAAAACCGGGUACCAUCGUUUGGUAAAUAACAUGAUCCAACCCUUGAAGAAGAAUUGGGAACUAUUCCUGAGCUAGAAUACCCUUGGUAAAUAACAUGGUCCCUUUUGAGCUAGGAACGGCGGAAACGUUCUGGGGCGGAGGACGUCAUGUAUAGUAUCACAACAAUGAAUAGUAGUAAACAGGCAACAACAUCAUCCAUUGCAUUAAUAAUAUAAUUCUAAUACAAGUGUGUUUUUUUAAAUUAUAAUAGACACUAAAGUAUAAAUCAAAAUGAAAGAUGAGUCUUGAACGAGCUCCAUCUUCUCUAAACCUUGCACUGGUAUCUAUCUACUGUUGACCUGAGGAUAGAAGUUAUUUUGAAAGAGAAUAUCAGCUUUAAAGCUGGUGAGAUCAUAAGUAUUUUAGUGUAUGAAUUUGUAUGUAAGUAUUUGUAAGUAUGUGAAGUGUAAGUAUGUAAAAGUUUUGAAACUCCUAGAAAACCCUAUGUUUCCUACUAAAAGUAGCCUUCUGCCAAGGCUUCUAGUAUAUGUGUGUGUCUCUUGUUAAAGUGUGUAUUUUCCCAAAUCCGACUAUCAUUGACCAAAAACAUAGCUUUUACAUUACCGUGCAUCGUGUGAAUGUUCACGAAGUGAAUGUUACGGGAAAAUAUUAUAGUACUGUAGUAUUUCAAUAAGUAACUACCAAGACUUAAUUGUUUUGAAAGUAGUCUUCUACCAAGACCUGACUGUUUUGAAAGUAGUCUUCUACCAAGACCCGACUGUUUUCAAAGUUGUCUUCUAGCAAGACCCGACUGUACAACUAUUAUUAUUAUUUCAAUCUACCUCAUCGAUCAUGUGAAUAUGCCACAUAGUAAAGGUAUUAAUAAUAUAUUAACUAGAGCUUUAUAUCCUAUUGUAAGUGUCGUAAGUACUGUAGUAUUUGUAAUAAGUGACUACUUUUGUACUAUUUUGCCUUAAUUGAGGGAUAAGGCAUAAUGGGAUGGCUAGAUCCCAGGCUAGACGCUCCCCUGUCAAAGAGAUUUUGGGACCCACACACGACCCCUGCAUGUUUGCAAGCCGCAAACAUCCACAUUACUAUGAUCAUGUACACCCAAUAUAACUAUCACAAUGCGUUGUGAUUCAUUAGUAUAGUUAGAUCCUGAAAUCGUUCUAUGCUAUAGCACCUAGUUAUGUGUGUCCUAUUAUCAUACGUAUAAACGCACUCAUGUAAGCGUAUCUAUGUAACCGUACUCAUGUAAGCGUGUCUAUGUAAACGUACUCAUGUAAGCGUAAUCAUGUAAACGUAUCUAUGUAAAUGUACUCAUGUAAGCGUAAUCAUGUAAACGUAUCUAUGUAGUAGUAUAGACUCAUGAAUGAACUGACUCUUGUGUGAUUCCUUGUACUUGGAAUGGUAAGUAAUAUCUCCUAACUAUACCUAUAAUAGUUACUAAUAAUGAACGUGAAUAACCUUAGAUAUGCCUUUGCUACCCAAAGGUACUAAACUGACUGAGGAGAACUUUUAUGUCUACAUAUGUAUACAUGAUAUAUAACUAAUAUUUAGACGACAUUCGGAUGGAUAACCGAUACCCUUAAGCCACAUCCCAACGAGGAAAAGGAAAUAAAGCGAGCUAGCCUUCCUAAGCCCUUUAAAAAUUUCUUAUAUAACUAUACAUACAUAGACAUGCAUUUGACAAUAUAAAAGCAUAAAAGAAGUUUUGUAAAACCUUUGAAAAAGAUUAAUAUCAAUGAAAAGAUCGACUUGAUGUCGGCUUAUAAAGUGGUUUGGAAGUAUUUGCUUUGAUAAAACAGUUUAAUUAUAAAGAAACCUUUGUUUGAAACAAAAUUGUAAAAGAGUUUGAAAUGAAACCUACAGUGUAUAAUAAACAGUUUAAUCAAGAGUUUUAAACAUAUAAAAACGUUUAAGAUAAACAUUUGAAGAAAUCUGUUUGGUAAAACAGUUACCGUAUAGUAAAUCUAUUUGCAUGCUGCUUAUUAAUCACAUGUGAUUGAUAUAAUAACUAGCAUGAAUCAACUUGUUUCCCCCCAUAAAAGCAUUUAAAAACAUUCAAAAUAUUGAUUAAGGGGUAUGAACUCACCUGUAGCAAGUGGUAGGGAUUGAACGGACUGUAUAGGAUGCUAGGUGUCAAGUGAAGACUUGUACACACUCUAUGAUCCUAGUUAACAUAUAAUAUCACAUAUAUGUAACCAAUUAGCCUUUAAACAAUUUAAUAACAAAGUUAAGACAUCCUAAGACAUGUU